ACACCCACAAACAACAUAUCAUCUGUUCAGGAGGAAAUGAUAAUAAUAGAUUCACAAGGGAUGUUUUAAUACUUGCUCUUCUUUUGUCAUGCGGGAUUUUGAAUGAAGGGACGUUACUCGUAAUGGAGUAUUUUUACAGUUACUCGAGUAAAAGGCCCGUCCUUCCAAAACUGCCGCAUCAUAUCCUGCAGCAGUCCACCGCAUCUACGUCCCAGAUGUUGCAGUGCGAAGCUCCCGUGGCGUCUUUAAGAUAGCCGUCGGGCCCUCGGUGCAGAACGACUCCUCACAGGCAGGGAUGCCCUUCACUUGAUGGGAUCAAUCAAAGGACGUGCCUCAGAAGUUCAAGUCGCCGCGUGUGGUGUGUGUGUGCAGGCGUGUGUGUGAGUAGGCUUGUGUGUGUGCAGGCCUGUGUGUGAGUAGGCGUGUGUGUGUGUGUGCAGGCCUGUGUGUGAGUAGGCGUGUGUGCGAGUAGGCGUGUGUGUGUGCAGGCCUGUGUGUGAGUAGGCCUGUGUGCGAGUAGGCGUGUGUGUGUGUGCAGGCCUGGGUGUGAGUAGGCGUGUGUGUGUGCACGGCCUGUGUGUGAGUAGGCGUGUGUGCGAGCUGCAUGCACGUCUGUGUACUAGCCUGCGCUUCGCAGAUUUGCACAGCUGUGUUGUUUACGUAUGCCAUGCAUGUGUGAGCCCACGCCUGCUCAACGUGAAAGUUCAAAGUGUGUGUG
ensembl:lncRNA